GUGGUGGUUCUUGCAGAGGUCAUAUUAAGAACCAUAAAAUGUUGGCCACGCACUAACAGGUGGUAUGAAGAAGGCAGAGGUGAGAUCAAAGAGCUCAGGACUAACAAGAAAGAUCCAAAGUAUUGGAAUUGGUGGUUGGUAUUGCAAAGGCCUUAGGAAGAAUGGAGCAGCCUGUUCCAAGGAGCAGCAAGGUGGUUUGGAGCCAGCUGUUGCCAUGUCAAAAUACAACCUAGGAUAAGAACCAAGAUAUAUAAUGUAAAGGUACAAAUUCCCAAUAAUGAAUGCCAGCAUAUUGUAUACCUAAAAAUGUACCAAUAAAAUU
rnacentral:lncRNA from 1 species